rnacentral:tRNA from 1 species
GCGCCCGUAGCUCAACUGGAUAGAGCAUCAGACUACGAAUCUGAGGGUUGGGGAUUCGAAUUCCUCCGGGCGCACCA